CUAAUACAUGCAAGUCGAGCGAACAGACGAGGAGCUUGCUCCUCUGACGUUAGCGGCGGACGGGUGAGUAACACGUGGAUAACCUACCUAUAAGACUGGGAUAACUUCGGGAAACCGGAGCUAAUACCGGAUAAUAUAUUGAACCGCAUGGUUCAAUAGUGAAAGACGGUUUUGCUGUCACUUAUAGAUGGAUCCGCGCCGCAUUAGCUAGUUGGUAAGGUAACGGCUUACCAAGGCAACGAUGCGUAGCCGACCUGAGAGGGUGAUCGGCCACACUGGAACUGAGACACGGUCCAGACUCCUACGGGAGGCAGCAGUAGGGAAUCUUCCGCAAUGGGCGAAAGCCUGACGGAGCAACGCCGCGUGAGUGAUGAAGGUCUUCGGAUCGUAAAACUCUGUUAUUAGGGAAGAACAAAUGUGUAAGUAACUAUGCACGUCUUGACGGUACCUAAUCAGAAAGCCACGGCUAACUACGUGCCAGCAGCCGCGGUAAUACGUAGGUGGCAAGCGUUAUCCGGAAUUAUUGGGCGUAAAGCGCGCGUAGGCGGUUUUUUAAGUCUGAUGUGAAAGCCCACGGCUCAACCGUGGAGGGUCAUUGGAAACUGGAAAACUUGAGUGCAGAAGAGGAAAGUGGAAUUCCAUGUGUAGCGGUGAAAUGCGCAGAGAUAUGGAGGAACACCAGUGGCGAAGGCGACUUUCUGGUCU
rnacentral:rRNA from 1 species